GCCAGGUGCAGAGGUGUAUACCUGUAAUCCCAGUACUCGGGAGGCUGGUGUGGGAGGAUCAGUUGAGCUUAGGGGCUCAAGGCCAGCCUGGGCAACAUAGAGUAAGACUCUAUUUCAA
rnacentral:sRNA from 1 species